GUUUUAAUAGUUUAAAUAAAAUAUUGAUUUUGUAAAUCAAUGAAAAAAAUAUAAUUUUUUUAAAACU
rnacentral:tRNA from 1 species